GCUGCAUGAAGAAAUUAAUUUAUUUGAUUUAGGAUGAAUCCCAAAGGAACUGCCUCACCUAACUAAUUAAUUUUCCAGUAUUUCCUGUAAUUUAUCCAUGUAUUGCUCAACAGCCAAAUUGAAUGGAUUUGGCAACCUUAGCCCCAACAAAAAUAAAAAUUUAAAAUUAGUUAAUAAUAUUAUAUAUAUUGUGAUAAGGUGAAUGGGGUGGUCUUUGAGGGAGUUUAUAUUUC